GGUUUCCCCAAGGCUGUGUGGCUUUUUGGUUUUGCCUUUCAGUGAGAAACUCUCAAAGAGGCUUCUAUUCUUCUUUAGGGAUGUUUUGUGAAGACCUUGACUGACUAUCAUGUGACUUGAAACAUUGCUGAAAAAAUGGUAGAGGUUUGUCUGCCUGUUCUGGAUGCUUUGGGUUUGAACGUCAGCUUGUGGCAGUGACUGCACACAGUCAGUUUCUGUCUCAAGGCACAACGUGUGCUUAGGGCGAGAUUCAUCAUACGCAACAGUGGAUGUGAAUUCAUAUUUCAAACAGGCUUCUUGAUCUUGUUGAGUUUUUGGGGGCCAAUUCUUCUCAAAUCUUAUUUGUUUGUCUUUGAUUUUGCCUCUGUGUGGCUGGUGAAGAGCUCAUGGGAGGAGCAGGAGAAGGGUCAACAGUGCCAUUUCCUUGCUGGUCGCUUGUGCUGGACUUACCAGGGUUAUCUUCCAUCUGUGGUUUCUUCGCAGGAAUCUCUUUUUAAGACAUGUGAGGGGUAGUGGACUCAGCGGGAGACCUUGUGCUGCUCAUUAGUGCCUCAGGGGUUUACCUGUCACUUUUUCUUUGCUGUGCUGAAGUUAAAAAGCUUAUUGUAGCUCUUUGGAUUUCUGUCAUUAAAGGAAGUCUCUAGGAUUUCUACCCAGGAGUGAGGUGUCCAGAAAGGACUGUCCUUGUAUGCUGCUGUCAGCCUUCAGUUUAGAGAAGUGUCUGGUAGUGGUGUAUUUUAAUGGUAAUGUAACUCAAGUGCAACUUAAAUCUACAACCUUUGUGCUUGUUCCUGAUAUGCCUGGGGGAUGAUUCUCAUCAGGUUGUAAACAGCAUGUUCUGCUGUGCUUUACCUAUUUGAAAUAGUCUGUCACCAGAAAUGUCUUCCUUAUGACCUCCAUAGAACAAGAACCUCCCACCCUGACCCUUGGGCAGCUUCAGGGCGACAGCUAAAUGUCAGUAGUUCAACAAACAAGUCUCAUGGUAGCAGUGUGUGUGUCUAAGACCACCUGAGCCUCCACAUUUAUUCAGUAUGUCACAGCUUUGCGUGGGUAGGGGUGCAUGAAGUCAGUAUGUUGUACGUGUUGUAACUGGCCAGGCAGUUUCUCUAAAGCAACAAGAAAUGACCUCUUAUAGUGGCAUGCCUAUGGAUGUCAAGGUGGGGGGGAUGUCGCCUAUUCCUUCCUUUGGCUGAGCACAGAGGACUGAGAGGUGUUUUCAUCUGAGGGAGGGAAGCCCAUCCAACAGCCAUCAUGAGCCUCCAGGCUUGUGGUCCUUGAUGGAGGCAUAAGUAAGUGCUUAGGACAGUUUUACUGCGGUGGUGUUCGUCCUUUGGCUCCCAGGUUUUCCCAUUAAGGUUUGCUCUCCGCUUUCUUUGCCUUUAGAGUGUUUUGUAAAUGUUCUCCAUCCAAAACCCCGAGGACUGUACUAUGUAUUCCUUUCUCUGAAACCUCAUCAAUAGCUUUGGAGAUGUCCUUGGGAACAGAGGAAAUGGGGACCCUUUAUGGUAGAGAAGAACAUUUAAUAUGAGAAACACUUCCAUGGUGUGAACAGCUGGCUGCUGCAUCCAAGAGGCUUACGAUGCAUCGUUCUUCCAACAUCCUGACACUGUGCUUGAAGAGAUCUGAUCCUUUCUCUGGCAGAAAGAUUAGCAAGGUUGUGCACUAUCCAGAAUACUUGGACCUUGGCACAUACAUGUGUCAAGAAGUUGGAGAACCUCUGCUUUAUUCCCUGUAUGCUGUCCUGGUACACAAAGGUUUCAGCCCUCAGGCAGGACGCUAUUACUGCUUCAUAAAGGUAAAAGUCAAGUUUGUUUCCAGCAGUACAAGUAUCAGUGCUGGUAAUGAGGAAGUGUGAUGCAGGUGCUCCUGGUAAGCACUGUUCUUAGGGAGAAUUCUCAGGGGGUACUUGCUUUGAUUUGUGUUGGUGUGUUGUGUCCUUCAGCAGUGUCCUGUGUUUUUGUUCCUAAACUCUGCAGUUCAUCCAAAGAUGGUGUUGCCUUUCUUUGCAGGCUACUGAUGGACAUUGGUACG